rnacentral:rRNA from 1 species
AACGAACGCUGGCGGCAGGCUUAACACAUGCAAGUCGAGCGCCCCGCAAGGGGAGCGGCAGACGGGUGAGUAACACGUGGGAACAUACCCAUCUCUGCGGAACAACUCCGGGAAACUGGAGCUAAUACCGCAUACGCCCUUCGGGGGAAAGAUUUAUCGGAGAUGGAUUGGCCCGCGUUGGAUUAGCUAGUUGGUGGGGGAAAGGCCUACCAAGGCGACGAUCCAUAGCUGGUCUGAGAGGAUGAUCAGCCACAUUGGGACUGAGACACGGCCCAAACUCCUACGGGAGGCAGCAGUGGGGAAUAUUGGACAAUGGGCGCAAGCCUGAUCCAGCCAUGCCGCGUGAGUGAUGAAGGCCUUAGGGUUGUAAAGCUCUUUCACCGAUGAAGAUAAUGACGGUAGUCGGAGAAGAAGCCCCGGCUAACUUCGUGCCAGCAGCCGCCGUAA